GGUGACACAGACUGGACUGACAGAGAACGUGACUCGAGUUCAAAGUAGCAAUGACACCAACGCCGUUUCAAGAGUCAAACUAUCCGCUGCUUAACACAUUUAAACAGUGACUGAUGCAAUAAUCGCACGAUCAACAUUUAAAGUUUUUACUGAAUAAAUAAGAUCUGUAAUCAGUAAAUUGGAACUGAUUAAUACUGUUCAAAAUAACACCAAAACACAAUAUCUACACUCCCAAUUAAAGUCACGCUUAACAUUUCACCGUUGAACAUUUCACAUGAUUAUAUUUAUGUUGCGCAUGUUAACAUAGAGAUAUGUUCACAUGCGCAUUAUGUUAUGAGACCAAUUGUCGACUUAGAAAAAAUACUCGUCUUAUAUUUAGCAUCAUAGAACCAUGCGUAAGUUGCUUGGCAAUCAACUAUAAAGUUUGGUUUAGUUUGUUUUAAGUCGAAGAAUAUUGAAUCAGUCACUGUUAAAAAUGGUUAAAAUUGCACCUGGUCAGGAACUAACAAUAUACUGUCCACUAAUGCACCGCAUCGAAUGAACAAUGAAAUUACUGCUGGCGUUCUUGAGAACGAUGCUUGUGCUGCUGCGGAAACAAGUGGGAAGGCGUCUUCUAGUGGCAAGGCAUUCUUUCAAAAGAUUUAACAUUGAACUAUUUUAUUACAAUGUAAAGUUUAGCUUGGGAAAAGAGAGGGCUUAUAUAUAGCUUUGCGUUAUACGGCAAACGCCAUGCAGGCAAAUAACUGCAAACGUAUCAGGCAAUAAAGAGUAAAUGAACUUGCUGUUUUAAAACUGCAAUGCAUGAUUGUUUCGACACAAGAAAGAAAAUGUGAAAUGAAAAGGUCAACGAAAAUUUUGCCAAGAAUGUUCGAGCCUGUUGUUUGACGUUCCCGGAAACGUGAUGCUUAAUAAACUCCCUAAUAUAAAUAUGGAUAAAAUAUAGUUCACAAUGAAUAAGCAUGGUUAGAUCGUACAAAGGUAUUACAUGUUCUUGAAUGAAGGCUAUCCUGUGAUCUGAUGUUGAGUUUGGGAUGUCCUAUAUUUUUUCAUUUAAAAAUGCAUAAAUCGCGCAAAUUAGCAAUUUACACAAUCAGCGCAAGUCGUGCACUAGCCUGCGUGGCAGGCCCUCGAUUUUAUGGGGGGCCUGAUUUGCAGCGGGCAGGAUUUUGGC
rnacentral:lncRNA from 1 species